rnacentral:rRNA from 1 species
UACGUAGGGGGCUAGCGUUGUCCGGAUUUAUUGGGCGUAAAGAGCGUGUAGGCGGUUUGGUAGGUCCGUUGUGAAAACUCGAGGCUCAACCUCGAGACGCCGGCGGAAACCAUCAGGCUAGAGUCCGGAAGAGGAGAGUGGAAUUCCUGGUGUAGCGGUGGAAUGCGCAGAUAUCAGGAAGAACACCCGUGGCGAAGGCGGCUCUCUGGAACGCAACUGACGCUGAGACGCGAAAGCGUGGGGAGCAAACAGG